GCACCAACACACACACACACACACACACACACACACACACACACACCCACACACACACACACACACACACACACACACACUCUGCUGCAGGGCUCACAGUCUGCAAACUAUCAAACUGUAAUUUUCACUGCUGCGACUUCCAAACUGCAGGACCCGCGGAGGGAGGCUUGAACACAACCAUGUAGGCCUUAAUGCUGUGAUUCUGUCCUGAGAGUGUGGUUAAAAAAAAAAAUCACACUGAAAAUCUGAGAAAUUCAAACUGCUCAAACCACAAACCAGGCAUUCACGUCUUCGGUUUGUUCACUGUGAAUUUGUCUUUUCCAGCUGCACAACUUCCAAACUAAUUCGAGAACGUGGUGUCCCGAGUGGAAUUUACAUUGCAUAAGCAUUCCAGUAUCUUCUUUUUUUUUUUUUUUUUUUUUUUUUUUUUUUUUUGAGCAUCAUGCAGCUCCACACUCCGUGGUGACUCGUUCACAUGACAUGCUGGCAUCCACAGGAAGUGAACCUGUCAAUAUUAAAGAUAUCAUGUAAUGUUGGUGUUUCCCCACUUCUGUCUGCUCUCUUUCCUUAUUUACAGAGAGUGUGGUGCCAAACUGCAUACCAAAAUGUCUCACAUUAGUGUUUCAUUGCCCCCAUAUCCCAUGUCUUAGCUGUUUUUUUUGUUAUUCUUUGGGUCUACUCUUUGUCCCUGUACGCUUUAAAUCCACUGGUGACGGCAUGUCUUUCUGCGGCGAAAAGUGAAGGAAUAAAAAAAAUGAGCUAGUUCUGAUGACUGAAGUGCAGCCUGGUGGAUUGAACCUGUGCAGAGGUGAGGAGUUCAAUCUGAAAAUUUAGGAAAAGUUUUGUUUUUGUUUGGCGAGAGAUGCGAGUUUGCCAGCGUGGAUGAACACAGUUUAUAGAUUUUGCGAUGCAGUUUGACCCAGUUUUCUCUCUGAAGGAAAGACAGAGUGACAUGCAUUAACCAGCGUGGGACACUUCACCAGUUUAACACUUAAAACUGUUUUUUUUUUCCCCUUUUUUUUUCCAAAAGUUGAAAAUCCAGUGUCAUGUUUUUAUGGCCAAAUUAAGAGAAUGAAGAUUUUUUUCCAGUCUGUCGGCCACCUUGACGAGUGAGCAGCCUGAUGGUUCCCGCACUGAGAUGACGUGCCUUAGCUGUUUCAUUACAAAAAAUCUCCAUCUUAACAAGUCUUUUAAUUUCAUCUCCAGUGUUGAAAUCUUGUUUUUCCUUCAAACAAGGUAACAAAAUCCCACUAAUCAGCCCACAAGGAUCAAGAAAAUGACACUAGAUUAAAAAAAAAAAAAUUCCAGAAACAAGUUGAUCAGCGUUUGAACACUGAAGAUGAGAAUGAAUGACGUGCUAAGAUGUAGCAAGAGAUUUUUGCAGUUUAUUUCCAUUUAGCCAUUUACUCGUUUCAGUUAUCUGAAAAAAAAAAAAUGUAAAAAAUAAUGAUAAUUUACAGGGAUCCAUGAAAA